CUACCAGAUUGCGUGCUUGGUUGUCACCGACACUGAUUGGCGUGAACUGGCCAUGGAAGCUCUAGAAGGUUUAGAUUUUGAAACAGCAAAGAAGGCCUUCAUCAGAGUACAAGACCUCAUCAGCAGCAUUGAGGAGAGGAAGAAGCGGGGAGAGACCAACAAUGACCUGUUUCUGGCAGAUGUGUUUUCCUACCAGCGGAAGUUCCAUGAGGCCACCAAACUGUACAAGAGGAGCGGGAAGCUUGAAAUGUGUUGGAAGAAAAGCUGAGUGUUAGGAGAGAAGCUGAGGCAGGGUUGCAUGUCUGCUAGACUUGCUGGCUCCUUGCUUCUAGCAUUCCUAUUAUCUCAAGCAGCCAUAUGUUUCUCAUUCACUUGAUACACCAUUUCCUUUCAACUCCCACAUCCUCACCACCUGUUUCUUUGUUUGAGCAACAAUAAAUACAAUAAAUAGUGUGGGCUCCCAGAGCUCGUGGCCUUCCCAGCCUCCACACUUGUGAUGGCCCCCUGGUCCCACUUUCUCUCUCAAACUCUUUCUCAUUCCUUUGACUCCGUUGGACUUCAUCGCCCCCACGACCUGGUGUUGGGUCUGAUCAC